rnacentral:rRNA from 1 species
CGUCUUUCACUCCUACGGGAGGCAGCAGUGGGGAAUAUUGCACAAUGGGGGAAACCCUGAUGCAGCCAUGCCGCGUGUGUGAAGAAGGCCUUCGGGUUGUAAAGCACUUUCAGUAGGGAGGAAGGUAGUGUAGUUAACACCUGCACUAUUUGACGUUACCUACAGAAGAAGCACCGGCUAACUCCGUGCCAGCAGCCGCGGUAAUACGGAGGGUGCGAGCGUUAAUCGGAAUUACUGGGCGUAAAGCGCAUGCAGGCGGCCUGUUAAGUCAGAUGUGAAAGCCCGGGGCUUAACCUCGGAAUUGCAUUUGAAACUGGCAGGCUAGAGUCUUGUAGAGGGGGUAGAAUUUCAGGUGUAGCGGUGAAAAUGCGUAGAGAUCUGAAGGAAUACCGGUGGCGAAGGCGGCCCCCUGGACAGAUACUGACACUCAGAUGCGAAAGCGUGGGGAGCAAACAGGAUUAGAUACCCUGGUAG